AUUAAAGUAACAAAGGGCACACAAGGGAUGCCUAGGUAGAAAGAGCCGAAGAAGGACGUGGUAAGCUGCGAUAAGCUUGGCGAAGUUGCAAACGAACGUAGAUGCCAAGAUUUCCGAAUGGAGCAAUCUGUAAAGAGUCAUGUCUUUACACGAAAGAGGGAACCGGGUGAACUGAAACAUCUAAGUAAUCCGAGGAAAAGAAAGUAACAACGAUGCCCUAAGUAGCGGCGAGCGAACGGGGUAGAGCCUAAACCGUAUUCAUGUCAAGGAUGCAGCCGUUGUGGAUACGGGGUAGCGGGAAAGAGAGAGAAAGAACUGCAAGUUAUUUCGCAGACGUAAGCAAAGGAACAAGAAAGAUCUGGAAAGGUCUACCGUAGAAGGUGAAAGUCCUGUAUUGGUAGUUUUCUUGCGCUGUAUCUCUUCUCCCAAGUAAUGUGGAACACGAGGAAU
rnacentral:rRNA from 1 species